UCAGGAUGAACGCUAGCUACAGGCUAACACAUGCAAGUCGAGGGGCAGCAUGUUGGUUGCUGCAACCAAUGAUGGCGACCGGCGCACGGGUGAGUAACGCGUAUCCAACCUUCCCUAUAGUAGAGGAUAGCCCGGCGAAAGUCGGAUUAAUACUCUAUGUUUUCCAAUGCAGACAUCUAAAAUGGAACAAAGGUUUACCGCUAUAGGAUGGGGAUGCGUCUGAUUAGAUAGUCGGCGGGGUAACGGCCCACCGAGUCGACGAUCAGUAGGGGUUCUGAGAGGAAGGUCCCCCACAUUGGAACUGAGACACGGUCCAAACUCCUACGGGAGGCAGCAGUGAGGAAUAUUGGUCAAUGGGCGAGAGCCUGAACCAGCCAAGUAAGCGUGCAGGAUGACGGCCCUAUGGGUUGUAAACUGCUUUUAUACAGGGAUAAAGUGACGUACGUGUACGUUUUUGUAGGUACUGUAUGAAUAAGGACCGGCUAAUUCCGUGCCAGCCGCCGC
rnacentral:rRNA from 1 species